rnacentral:tRNA from 1 species
GGCGGCGUUGUGGACUCAGGAGCAAAGGUCUGCAACACCCUUGUCAUCGGUUCAAAUCCGAUUGCCGCCU